UUCCAGACUCCUACGGGAGGCAGCAGUGGGGAAUAUUGCACAAUGGGGGGAACCCUGAUGCAGCGACGCCGCGUGGGUGAAGGAGCACCUCGGUGCGUAAAGCCCUAUCGGCAGGGGGGAAACAGACGGUACCUGACUAAGAAUCCCCGGCUAACUACGUGCCAGCAGCCGCGGGAAUACGUAGGGGGCCAGCGUUAUCCGGAUUUACCGGGUGUAAAGGGAGCGUAGACGGAAAGGCAAGUCAGAAGUGAAAACCCAAGGCUCAACCAUGGGACUGCUUUUGAAACUGUCAAACUAGAGUACGGGAGAGGUAAGAGGAAUUCCUAGUGUAGCGGUGAAAUGCGUAGAUAUUAGGAGGAACACCAGUGGCGAAGGCGUCUUACUGGACCGAAACUGACGUUGAGGCUCGAAAGCGUGGGGAGCAAACAGGAUUAGAUACCCUCGUAC
rnacentral:rRNA from 1 species